rnacentral:rRNA from 1 species
AGAAUCAACGCUGGCGGCGUGCCUAACACAUGCAAGUCGCACGAGAAAGCGGAGCAAUCCGUGAGUAAAGUGGCGCACGGGUGAGUAACACGUGAAUAAUCUACCUCCGAGUGGGGAAUAACUGAGAGAAAUCUUAGCUAAUACCGCAUAACGCUUACGAGUCAAAGCAGCAAUGCGCUUGGAGAGGAGUUCGCGGCCGAUUAGUUAGUUGGCGGGGUAAUGGCCACCAAGACGAUGAUCGGUAUCCGGCCUGAGAGGGCGCACGGACACACUGGAACUGAAACACGGUCCAGACUCCUACGGGAGGCAGCAGUGGGGGAAUUUUGCGCAAUGGGGGAAACCCUGACGCAGCAACGCCGCGUGGAGGAUGAAAUAUCUUGGUAUGUAAACUCCUUUCGAUGGGGAAGAUAAUGACGGUACCCAUAGAGAAGCCCCGGCUAACUCGCGCCAGCAGCCGC